AUGAAAGUUCUUCUUGUAUUCAUUAUUUUUUUUACAAAUGGGACCUUUAAAGUGAAGGCCAAGCUAUUGAAUGUUGUGAUAAACCAGCGGUUUCCUUUUCCUCCACAGGAAAUAAGGAAGGUCAUACCCAGUGAAAAGUGUAAAAGGAACACUUCUGGGACUAUCCCUUUCUAUAAUUUCAUGUGCUUGACGAUUGCAACUAUCAACCGCAAAUAUCAAGGUGCCAACAUCGAAGAUAAACACUGCGAGUAUGAUAUUACAUGCAAGCUCCUUUCAGGAGGACCAUCUACAGCGACACCAACAACACUGCCAGAAAGAACAGAGGUGACACCCACAUGGACAACAACAGAACUACCACCAACAACAACAAACUUCACACAGAUCACUGCAACACCAACAACACUGCCAGAAAGAACAGAGGUGACACCCACAUGGACAACAACAGAACUACCACCAACAACAAACUUCACACAGAUCACUGGGUUAAAUAGAUCAACAACAUUGCCGCUAACAACAACACAGCCAAAAAGAACAACAUCAGCAACUAGACUGGUGACACCCACAAUGACACCAACACCAGAAGUGACACCAUCAACCCCAUCCACAGACUUGGUCAAGGGAGGAAAGAAAGCUAAACAGACAAGCAAACCCACCGGCCCUCAUGCUCCAGUAGAAAAUCCUCUCGCCAAUGUAAAAGAAAAUCCUCUCACCAAUGAAAAAGGUAAGCUUUUCCCUUCAUUAAAUUGUUUACUGGGGUUGAUACAAAUAUAUUACAGUUCAUAUGUUGAAAUGUCAAAAAGCAGGAUAAAAAGGUGA
rnacentral:lncRNA from 1 species